rnacentral:lncRNA from 1 species
GACGAACUGGUCAAAACUCCACUGAUAGACAAUGGAUACACUGUCUGCUGUUUGGAGCCAGAACAAGGCAUUGAGUGGGUCACACAAGAGAGACUGCCGUUCUUUCUCAGAAGUGAUUUCUACUUUGAAUACAGACUUGCAAAGCUGUUUCUUGAAUGGGAGCCCAAGCUUGGAGUUCAAAGAAGGGGCAUCAGCUCAGCGCAAAGUGAAAGGACAAAUGGUAUAGUAUACAAUAUCAAACUGCACUCA